UAGGGAAUCUUCGGCAAUGGACGAAAGUCUGACCGAGCAACGCCGCGUGAGUGAAGAAGGUUUUCGGAUCGUAAAACUCUGUUGUUAGAGAAGAACAAGGACGUUAGUAACUGAACGUCCCCUGACGGUAUCUAACCAGAAAGCCACGGCUAACUACGUGCCAGCAGCCGCGGUAAUACGUAGGUGGCAAGCGUUGUCCGGAUUUAUUGGGCGUAAAGCGAGCGCAGGCGGUUUCUUAAGUCUGAUGUGAAAGCCCCCGGCUCAACCGGGGAGGGUCAUUAGAAACUGGGAGACUUGAGUGCAGAAGAGGAGAGUGGAAUUCCAUGUGUAGCGGUGAAAUUCGUAGAUAUAUGGAGGAACACCAGUGGCGAAGGCGGCUCUCUGGUCUGUAACUGACGCUGAGGCUCGAAAGCGUGGGGAGCAAACAGG
rnacentral:rRNA from 1 species